UGAAAUAAAAGUAGAAAUUAAACCAUAAAUUCUUUGCUUUAAGAACGCAACCACAGAAAAUGCAAAACCUUUCGUCCAAACUUCUUCCUUAUAUGGUUCUGGUAUCACAUGACAGUGAAACUAACUAUAAAGGGCAUUUGACACCAAAGCACACAUAGCAACAUCGCAACGUCCAAUAAACACGGCCGAGUCUGAAAAUAGGGUUUGACUUUGAUUUGAUCACGCAACAAACACGGAUAAAGGACAAGGUCUAAAGGGGGGAAGAAAACGACGCCGUAGCGCAGUAGAAUAGAUCAAGACGAAGGAUGGUGCUGAACAUCAACGUGGUGGCGAAAGUGGUGCACGCAUCGGCGCAUUUUUGGCAAUUCAUCGCUUGCAAUCCCGAGAGGUUGAGCAGCGACGUCGUUUUGCACCUCCUCUUCUGCCUCCCUUUCCAGCGCUUGUUUCGUUCACUCUCCACCUACCUUGGCUAUCGUCAUCCACACUCCGAUUGAAAUUUCAAAUUCCCAUUCAUAUUCUCUCUCUUUCUCUCUAUCUAUGUAUGUAUUUGUUUGUCAAAGGCCGUUCGUGCUUAUGUCUCUUUCUAGGUUUUUGUUUAAUACAUUCUAUUUGACGUUGUUUCUGUAUGCAUUGCUGAAUUAGUUUUGUAAAUUGAACUAUCCAAUAGGAUUGACCUAGUAUACUGUUGUUUUAAAUUGGAGAUGGUAGUAAUGUGAAAUUAGUUUUACUUUUUAUUUUUUAAGGAGGUGCUAUUAUUUUUGUUGUGAGAUGAAAUCCCAGAACAGCACUAAACAACCUUAACCUUAUUAUAAACUCUUCAUGUUUUUUUUUUCUUUUAAUGAAUUUAGAAAGAACAACUAUUGUACCUGAUAUUUGGCUAGUGGCCAUAAUUGUGGUUAUAUUUAUUUAUUGAUUGCUGCAAAAGUUGGAAGAUAGUAUUAUAGUGAAGAUCUUUGACGAAGGAUCCUCUAAUGGUGACAUGCAUGAUUUUUAUGUAUCAGAGUGAUUAAAAAAGUCAUUGGCCUUAACUUUAAUUAGUAAAAUUGUUUUCUCUCUUUCAUUUUUUUUAGUUUUGGGUGAGUCAUAAUUGAGUAAUGAAGUAGGAUGAGUUUUUUUUUUCUUUUAAAAUCUGUACCUUCCUUCUCUUGUCCUGUUCAUGAUUUUCCUUUAUUCAGAUGGUAUGUAAUUGUAGUUCAGCUCUUUACACACAAAAAAGGCGCUUGGGUACUCAAUAUUCAUGGGUGGUGAAGCAAGAAAGGUUACACUACACUCGUUCCAGUCACUAGUUCUACUUCUAGCAUCCUCCUCUUUGCGGUUAAGGUCUUGAACUCCGAUUUUCUUCUUCUUUUUCCUGGUUUGUAUUUGGUUCAUCUUGGCCUUUAUGUUGGUUGUCAUCUAUUUAAAGCUUUACUUUUGUAGUUGGUUUUUGUGUAUAUUGCUUUGUACUGAAAAAAUGAAAAAAAACAUGACCUUUGUCUUAUUUUGAUUUUCAUUUGGUUUGGUUGUAUGUUGCUUUGGACUGAAAACAAAUGUGACCUUUGUCUCAUUCUCAUUUUGUUGACUACUGUUUAACUUCUUCUAUAUCCAGCUCUCGAACUGUCAUUUCGUUCUUCUUUUACCAGGUUUGUAUUUGGUUUUUGUGUUUCUGUCCGUUUUGAUUGAUGUCUAAAAAUCUUUUACCUUUGUAUUUGAUUCUUUUUUUAUUCCCUCUAUUUUUGUCCAUCCUUCUUUUCUGUUACCCUUUACCUUUUUCUUGGGUUUUAGUGACGUGUGUUGCUAUUUUCUUCUCUUAUCCAGGUUUCUAUUUUCCUGCAACUUUCUUUUCCGGAUUGCUCCUGUUUGCCACUGUUUGCAAAACCAAAAAGGUUCGCUAAUGUCUGCUGCUAUUUUGUUCUAACCACGUUUUGAGCUACGCAUUUGCUCUUCUUUUUCCAUUCCUUUCAUUGACCAAGUUUGUAUUUGGUUCCUUUUGAUUCUCUGCCCAUUUGUUUGUUGGUUUUAAAAAACGUCUCUGUUCACAAAAUGAAUGAUGCAACUACACUAUUUUUGGAUUUCCGUCUGACUAUGUUUUCCAUAGUCAAUACUAUUUUGUCUUCUACUAUUUCCCUGUUUUUUGCUGUUUUAUUCUGAAGAUAAAGGUUUUCGAUAUUGGUAUUGUUCCCCUUAUUUGCUCCUGUUUGUCACUGUUUUUUGCAAAAACAAAAAGGUUUUUGAUGUUGGUAUUAAUCCCACUAUUUGCUCCUACUUGAAUGUGCUUCUUAUUUUCUCUGUAUUUGUCUGUGUUUUUGUCAUUCCCAGUGGUCUUUAUUAUCUGUGUUGUAGCCAUGUCUCGGAAAGAAAAUCUCAUAUCUGAGUUACACAUAAGAAAAGGAACAUGAAAAAUAGUUGUCCGUAUCACUGAUCUUUGGCAAGCUCGGAAGCAAAAUAGUAAACAAGUAAUUGAGAUGGUGUUGAUGGACUAAACGGUUAUUGUUGUGUUCUUUCUGUUUGUUGUUAUUACUCAUUUGUAUUGUAUGUGAUGUCACUUCAUUUUA